rnacentral:rRNA from 1 species
UAUAUUUUACAUUUAAUAUAUUGAAUUAGUAUUAGUUAGGAUCUUGAAAUUUAAAAAAUUUGGCGGUAUUUUAGUCUAUUCAGAGGAACCUGUAUUUUAAUCGAUAGUCCACGUUGUAUCUUACUUAAUUUGUAUAAUAAGUUUAUAUAUCGUUGUUUAUUGGAGAUUUUAUGAGAAAAAUAAUUUUCUAAAGAUUAUAUUAAAUAGUAUGUCAGAUCAAGAUGUAGCUUAUGGUUGAGGGAAGAAUGGGUUACAUUUAUAAUAUUAUUGGAUAUUAAUUUUAUAUUAUUUAUUGAAAUUGGAUUUGAUAGUAAAUUUAUAUAGAUAGAUAUAUUGAUUUUAGCUCUAAAAUAUG